rnacentral:rRNA from 1 species
UGGGGAAUAUUGGACAAUGGGCGCAAGCCUGAUCCAGCAACGCCGCGUGGAGGACGAAGGUCUUCGGAUCGUAAACUCCUGUCAGACGGGACGAAGGGACCGGGGCAAAUAGUCUCGGUUCUUGACGGUACCGUCAGAGGAAGCCCCGGCUAACUACGUGCCAGCAGCCGCGGUAAUACGUAGGUGGCAAGCGUUGUCCGGAUUUAUUGGGUUUAAAGGGUGCGUAGGCGGUCUAUUAAGUCAGUGCUGAAAUAUCCCGGCUUAACCGGGAGGGUGGCAUUGAUACUGAUGGACUUGAGUGCAGUCGAGGUAGGCGGAAUUGACGGUGUAGCGGUGAAAUGCUUAGAUAUCGUCAAGAACACCGAUAGUGAAGACAGCUUACUAGACUGUAACUGACGCUGAGGCACGAAAGUGUGGGGAUCAAA